UAGCGGAGGGUGCAAGCGUUAAUCGGAAUUACUGGGCGUAAAGCGUGCGUAGGUGGUUGAUUAAGUUAUCUGUGAAAUCCCUGGGCUUAACCUGGGCAGGUCAGAUGAUACUGGUUGACUCGAGUAUGGGAGAGGGUAGUGGAAUUUCCGGUGUAGCGGUGAAAUGCGUAGAGAUCGGAAGGAACACCAGUGGCGAAGGCGGCUACCUGGCCUAAUACUGACACUGAGGCACGAAAGCGUGGGGAGCAAACAGG
rnacentral:rRNA from 1 species